AGACCCAGCAUAACCUCAGUCGACCCUACAUCGCCCUGCAAGCGCAUUCAAUUUUAGCAGCGGCAAAAUGAUAAGGUUGAAUAUAGGGUGCCGGCAACGAUUGUAUACUUAUUUUCCUGACAAUUCUCGACGAGCCGGUCGCGAACGAUGGCCUAUUCGCUGGGCUUAUUUGAAUUCGCGUCCCUCGUACACGACAGGGAGAAGUUGGUAGAUUUUUUAAUUCAACACGGGGUCCUGUCGUCCGCGAUUAAGUGCCAUCGAUGUGGUAACGAUGUUGAAAUUAAUAAGGAAACAUUGUCGUACAAAUGCGGAAAACGGUACCUCGCGAACGAUGCGCGCAAGAAACGCGUCUCCAGACAGUGCAGCUUGAAACAAACUGGUACAGCGAGCUGGUUCCGCAACAGUCAUCUCGACAUGGGUACAAUAUGCAGAAUAAUAGCAUGUUUUCUGAUGUUCCCGCAUCCGCGUCAGGACAACGCGCUGGACGAAACUGGCGUGUCGUUGCCCAGUCUUGUCCACUGGUUCAAUUUUUGCCGAGAGGUCUGCGUGAUCUGGACCGCAGAGCAUAGCCAGAAGCUCGGCGGCCCGGGUCGCACGGUGGAGAUUGACGAGGCAAAAAUUGGCCGACGAAAGUACAAUUACAGCCGGUUUAUUCAAAGUAAUUGGGUUUUCGGAGGAUUUGAGCGCGAAUCUAAGAAGAUUUUUAUCGCCCCGGUGCAAGAGCGGACGGAACAGGCACUCCUGGCCUGUAUCAAAGAAUGAAUAUUGCCAGGAACUACUGUCGUGUUCAAUUGUUGGAAGCUGCAUGUUUUUUUAAACAAUGAAGACGUCCGGCAGUUAACAGUCGACCAUUCUUACAAGUUGGUCAAGCCUGAGAAUGACGUGCACACUCAGUGCAUGGAGCGCGUUUGGAGAGAGGUUCGGGGAAAUAUCCCGAGAUACGAAACUAAAUCCGAUCACAUCGUGGGAUACUUGUGCGAAUACCUCUUCAAACGCGCCUACAGCAGAUUGGAACGCAUUGAAGUCUUCUUCGAUAUCCUCGCAGAAUUAUAUCCUCCGAUAUCCACUUCCGCAGAAGCGUUCAACGGUCAGGAAUCAAUUACCAGUACUAUUUAAAGACACGUUUUUUGUGUACGUUUUUUACAGAGUGUAUCGUUUUCUAUCAUUGGUACAAUAAUAUUUCUUGUCAAUAUUAACAUCAUUACAUUUACGAUAUUUAAUUGCAGAUGCUACAUCAUGCUGAAUUAAAAAAAUCGACUAGUCCUCUGUGUAUAAUAUAUAUAUAU